AGGUGCUGCAUGGCUGUCGUCAGCUCGUGUCGUGAGAUGUUGGGUUAAGUCCCGCAACGAGCGCAACCCUUGUCUGCUGUUGCCAUCACGUUAUGGUGGGCACUCUGCAGAGACUGCCGGUGAUAAACCGGAGGAAGGUGGGGAUGACGUCAAGUCAGCAUGGCCUUUAUGUCUGGGGCUACACACGUGCUACAAUGGCCGAUACAAACCGUCGCGAUACCGUCAGGUGGAGCUAAUCGGAGAAAGCUCGGUCUCAGUUCGGAUUGCAGGCUGCAACUCGCCUGCAUGAAGUUGGAAUCGCUAGUAAUCGCGGAUCAGCACGCCGCGGUGAAUACGUUCCCGGGCCUUGUACACACCGCCCGUCACAUCACGAAAGCCGGUUGUACUAGAAGUCGCCAUACCAACCCGCAAGGGAGGGAGGCGCCUAAGGUAUGGUCGGUGAUUGGGGUG
rnacentral:rRNA from 1 species